AGCUAAAGCAAAAAGCUGUGGUCCUCAUGUGAACAGCUCAGACAGUUUCAAAUAUUAAAAUCAUUCACACGCUGAGUAAAUAUAAAGUCUUAAUCUUACCUGUUACAUCAUUUCAGUCAGAUUCAUCAUCACAGCCUGACAAAAACUUAUCCACAUAAAGCAUCCUGAUUUUGGAAAACGACGUCUGCAAAUGCUUUAGUUCCUUGUUGUGACUAAAAAAACAUAUUUGUUUUUCUCAGCAUUUC